rfam:Schistocephalus solidus strain NST_G2 genome assembly, scaffold: SSLN_scaffold0021191
GAGCCCGUGGCUCAAUGGUAGAGCGUUCGACUCAAAUACCAAAGGUCGUGGUUUCGAAUCCCAGGUUUG